UGGGGAAUAUUGCACAAUGGAGGGAACUCUGAUGCAGCGACGCCGCGUGAACGAAGAAGGCUUUCGAGUCGUAAAGUUCUUUUAUAUGGGAAGAUAAUGACGGUACCAUAAGAAAAAGCCCCGGCUAACUACGUGCCAGCAGCCGCGGUAAUACGUAGGGGGCUAGCGUUGUCCGGAAUCACUGGGCGUAAAGGGUUCGCAGGCGGAAAUGCAAGUCAGGUGUAAAAGGCAGUAGCUUAUCUACUGUAAGCAUUUGAAACUGCAUAUCUUGAGAAGAGUAGAGGUAAGUGGAAUUUUUAGUGUAGCGGUGAAAUGCGUAGAUAUUAAAAAGAAUACCGGUGGCGAAGGCGGCUUACUGGGCUCAUUCUGACGCUGAGGAACGAAAGCGUGGGUAGCAAACAGG
rnacentral:rRNA from 1 species